rnacentral:rRNA from 1 species
GAUGAACGCUGGCGGCGUGCCUAAUACAUGCAAGUCGAGCGAACAGACGAGGAGCUUGCUCCUCUGACGUUAGCGGCGGACGGGUGAGUAACACGUGGAUAACCUACCUAUAAGACUGGGAUAACUUCGGGAAACCGGAGCUAAUACCGGAUAAUAUAUUGAACCGCAUGGUUCAAUAGUGAAAGACGGUUUUGCUGUCACUUAUAGAUGGAUCCGCGCCGCAUUAGCUAGUUGGUAAGGUAACGGCUUACCAAGGCAACGAUGCGUAGCCGACCUGAGAGGGUGAACGGCCACACUUGAACUGAGACACGGUCCAGACUCCUAAGGGAGGCAACAGUAGGGAAUCUUCCGCAAUGGGCGAAAGCCUGACGGAGCAACGCCGCGUGAGUGAUGAAGGUCUUCGGAUCGUAAAACUCUGUUAUUAGGGAAGAACAAAUGUGUAAGUAACUAUGCACGUCUUGACGGUACCUAAUCAGAAAGCCACGGCUAACUACGUG